rnacentral:lncRNA from 1 species
CCAGAGGUACAAAGAGAGAGAGAGGCUCAGGACCAUCCAGCCCAUUCUGUGCCAUUCUGAAAGGGCCAUGACAGAUGGGGCUUGCAUCACCGUAAUCAAGGCAUGCUUCAUAUGGUUACUGGUUUUAAAAAGAGGGACCUGGUGGGUGAAUGAAUCCAAUGUGUCGCUUGUUGCUUUUCAGAUGAUCCAGCUUGUUUCAAUCAGCCAGUCUCGUGCUUCUGUGUGAAUGAGGAAUUAGAAGGUGGGUGUGGAACAAGAGAGUUGUUUCAAGGUAAUCGAAGACACCAAAUUAUACCAGCAGUUUUUCAGAAGACAACCAGGUCAUUCUUAUUGGUGAAAGAAGAGAGGAAUUGAAUUCGUGCAUUUGGCUGACCAUGGUGUAGCAUCACCAUGUGCUUACGUAGCUGAAUAAUGGUUAUCCAUGAGCGAUGUAGAUUACCAAAUCAAGAGAUGGUGUGCACUUUACAGACCAAGGGCAAGAUCCAUUCAUUGGCCUCUGGCCACAGAGGGUCUGUUGGAAAUGGGAUCUCAGUGGUGCAAGCCGCCUGUGAGGACUGGGCUGGAGCUGCACAGUGCCCCUGUGAAGUUGGUAGCACUUGCCAGUAGAGAGAAGGGAUGGGAGUAGUCCAGCUUGAAGACACCCUUAUUCAGGGCUUUUCUCAGACAACCUCCAGGGAUUUUAAUGCUACCCUUCGCCAGCCA